rnacentral:misc_RNA from 1 species
UACGUAGGGGGCGAGCGUUAUCCGGAAUCAUUGGGUUUAAAGGGUCCGUAGGCGGGACAAUAAGUCAGUGGUGAAAGUCUGCAGCUUAACUGUAGAACUGCCAUUGAUACUGUUGUCCUUGAGUAAUUAUGAAGUGGUUAGAAUAUGUAGUGUAGCGGUGAAAUGCAUAGAUAUUACAUAGAAUACCGAUUGCGAAGGCAGAUCACUAAUAAUUCACUGACGCUGAGGGACGAAAGCGUAGGUAGCGAACAGG